GACGAACGCUGGCGGCGUGCUUAACACAUGCAAGUCGAACGGAAAGGCCCUGCUUUUGUGGGGUUCUCGAGUGGCGAACGGGUGAGUAACACGUGAGUAACCUGCCCUUGACUUUGGGAUAACUUCAGGAAACUGGGGCUAAUACCGGAUAGGAGCUCCUGCUGCAUGGUGGGGGUUGGAAAGUUUCGGCAGUUGGGGAUGGACUCGCGGCUUAUCAGCUUGUUGGUGGGGUAGUGGCUUACCAAGGCUUUGACGGGUAGCCGGCCUGAGAGGGUGACCGGCCACAUUGGGACUGCGAUACGGCCCAGACUCCUACGGGAGGCAGCAGUGGGGAAUAUUGCACAAUGGGCGGAAGCCUGAUGCAGCAACGCCGCGUGCGGGAUGACGGCCUUCGGGUUGUAAACCGCUUUCGCCUGUGACGAAGCGUGAGUGACGGUAAUGGGUAAAGAAGCACCGGCUAACUACGUG
rnacentral:rRNA from 1 species